rnacentral:lncRNA from 1 species
UGUGUGCAUGUGUAGUGUGGGUGUGUGUAUAUAUAUAUAUAUUCAUAUUCUUUUAUUAGUUUCAGCCAGUGGAGCAAGUCCAUCCAAGGGCACUGACAUUAAGGGAUUAGUUCAUCAUUUUAACUCAAUUUCACUUGGUGACAAUGCAUGCAAUCCUUCCCUGGGUGAAUUAUUGCAAGCACGCAAUAAGCUAAAACCUACAGUCAACGAGAAUAGGGUUUCUAUUCCUACAGAGUCUGACCCCACCCUCAAACAUCCUGAUGCAGCCAAAAACAAAGAGAAGCCUCAACCAUCACAAAAACCUUCGUUCAUAUCUGAAAUAAAUAACAAAUUUAAAAACAUCCCCUUUCCAGGAAAGGAGUCUUCCCCAGCAAUAAAUCGAAAGAAAAGCUUCGGUUCUGAGCCCACAAAUAAAGGUACCUAGUUAUUUCUUAUACUUUUUCACUGCUGGAAAUGGUAAUAGAAGUGGAUCAGGUAUGUACUUGGUGUUGUAGUCAGUGUUUAUGUUUGUGAACUAUUGAAAACACUCCAUUAGAGGUAUAUACAUAUUAAGAUCAAUGAUUUACUAGAUUUUUGAUAGCUUCACAUGAAGUGAAUUAUAAACAUUACCUAUACUCUUUUACUUGUUUCAGUCAUUUUGACUGCGGCCAUGCUGGGGCACCACCUUUUAGUCGAG